AAAUAGAAAAGAAGAGAAGCCUUACAUUCCAAACCCUAGAAACCUGAAAACCUACUAGUUCCUCUCUCUUCGCACGCCAGAACGAUGUCGCACUUUGGAAGAUCUGGGCCGCCGGACAUCAGAGACACCUACUCCCUCCUCGUCCUCAACAUUACUUUCCGUACGACGGCAGACGACCUCUUUCCCCUCUUUGAUAAGUAUGGAAAAGUGGUUGAUGUGUUUAUCCCCAGAGACCGGAGGACUGGAGAUUCCAGGGGCUUUGCUUUUGUAAGGUACAAGUAUCAAGAUGAGGCUCAAAAGGCUGUUGAAAAGCUAGAUGGAAGAGUUGUUGAUGGGAGAGAAAUAAUGGUACAAUUCGCAAAAUAUGGCCCCAAUGCUGAACGAAUUCACAAAGGGAGAAUUGAAGAACCUGUUUACCGGGCCAGAGGAAGGUCAAGAAGCCGCAGUCCUCGACCAAGGGACAGGGAUCACAGGAGGAGAAGCCGCAGUAGAAGCAGAGGUAGAUAUGAACGUGAACGUCAUCGUGGUAGGGACAGGGAUUCUCGUAACCGGAGCAGGAGCAGGUCUCGAAGCCGCAGCCGCAGUGGGAGUCCUGGUUAUCGCAGAGAACGUGGUAGAGGCAAAUAUGAUGAUGAGCGGCGGAGACGAAGCCGGUCUUAUGGAAGUGCUUCUCCUGCUCGACGAAGUCCUAGUCCUCGGAGAAGCCCAACUCCAAACAAAUCACCUCCUUCCAGGGGUGAAAGUCCAGAUGUUCGUAAUCACAAAGAUCGGUCACCUACCCCUAAGAGUGUCUCUCCUCGCGGCCGUCGCGAUUCUCGGAGUCCAUCUCCACGUUCUGAGGCUGAAGAAUGAAGGAUGGUACCGCUGCUGGAUGGAUUUUGCUACCAUGCUGUUUGUGGCAGCAUAUGCCUUCUCGAUUUGUGUUCGUGAGGAGUAGUUGUUGCUGAUUGACAAGAUGAUGCAGCAGCUAUUGAUGCUGUUUUUAGAAUGAUGCAGUAGCUGCUGAUGCUGCUUUUAUUUAGCUGUUGAUUGUUAUAAUUGCUUGCUGGUGACGAUCUGAGGUUUCUUUACAAAUUUCCGACCUGGCAUUAUCGGUAAGGAAAAGACUAGCAUGUUAUUCUUGAAUCACAUUGAAAUUCUGAUAUCACCUGAAAGUCCUAAUCUCUCCUUACUGUGAUUUUGGGAAAUAAAUCUGAUUUUCACGAGCGAUCACUUGAGGUUGCUGGUGUCCAUAUAAAGUGUAGCUGGUGCUGUUGAUGAAUAGAUUUUCUGUUUGCUGAUAAUGUUUUGAGGCCACAUCUGAGAUGUUUGCCACUGUAACUGUGAGCUUGGGGGUGCACAUGAGAUCGUGUCUGUAGCUGUGACGCAAUAGCCGAUAUUCUUGUAGAUUGGUUGUUGCUGUACUUGCUGAUAGCUAUAGAACUGAUGCUGCCACUUUUGAUGAAUGGUUUUGGUAGCUGUGUUGCAGUUGGAUGCAUGGACGUGCUUUAUUGAUUUACGUACAAGUAUCUCGUUGAUGUCCAACUGAAGUCUGGAUCUCCUUUUCCACUAACCCCUAGUGUCCCUUCCAACCCAAUUUGUUCCCUUGCACUCCUUACAUUUUCGUGUGUUUCCAUUUUGUUCCAUGGUAAGUUGUGCUAGUUGAUGCCAUGUCUGCUUUAUUUGACUUCUGUAUGAUGAUGAUGAUGACGAUGACGAAUCUCUUAUUUCCCAACUUAUGAUGACCCAUGAUGCUUUUACUGCUAA